rnacentral:rRNA from 1 species
GACGAACCGAGCGAACGUUGUUCGGAAUCACUGGGCUUAAAGGGCGCGUAGGCGGGCUGCCGCGUCCGGGGUGAAAUCCCACGGCUCAACCGUGGAACGGCCCCGGGUACGGGCGGCCUCGAGGGGGGUAGGGGCGGGCGGAACUGUGGGUGGAGCGGUGAAAUGCGUUGAGAUCCACAGGAACUCCGGUGGCGAAGGCGGCCCGCUGGACCCCAUCUGACGCUGAGGCGCGAAAGCCAGGGGAGCGAACGGG